rnacentral:rRNA from 1 species
AUGGACCAAUCCAUCCCUUUUUCCCGUGCAUAUGCAUCGGACUCGGAUGACGAUGGUCCCGAUGAAGAAGUUGAUGAGGAGGGGUUCACGCCGAAGGAGGCCCAAGCAUUCAAGAAGGUAUUCGGGAAGGAUCACAAGACACCAUUGUUCAAGGAUCUUAGUCUCGCGGAUGAAGCCGUUGUGGAUGGUGGCAAAUGCAUAUCUCUUGGAGCUAGGCCAAGUUCUCAC